rnacentral:lncRNA from 1 species
GCCAUAAAGACUCGUCAUAACGAUUCCGAAAUGGUUCGUCAAUUUGCGCAUUCACGGCCGUGUAGUAGAACCUAUUAAAGACUUCCUUAAAGAUGAAGUAAGAGCCUUAGGUCGUGAGCUGGGUUUGCCCGCACAAUUACUGAAACGUUACCCGUUUCCUGGUCCCGGCUUGUCAAUUUGAAUCAUUUACGCCGAAUAGCCGUUCUUGGAAGCUAAUUUCGAUGAGACGCAAGUGCUGAUUCGUUCGAUGGUCCAUUAUGCCAACAUAGCAGCCAAGGAACAUGCCUUGCUCAAUCGGAUUGAAAUCGUGACGUCGGAAGAAGAACGUCUUCUUCUGGGAGAACUGUCUAGUCGUAACCAGUAUGUUGCCACGCUACUGCCUAUUCGCACUGUCGGUGUUCAGGUACAGGAGGUUGCAGAAAAAUGUGUCGGGUAUGGCAAACAAAGCAUAGGGAAAACCGCCACAUUUUUCUGCAAUAUACUGUACAACAGAUUCGCAAUUUAGACGUUGUCGUAAUAAUGCCGCGAUCGUAAUCAGCUCUUAUUCAAGGUAGAUGAUAGGUGCCACCGUAUCUACGCCAAGGUUUUUUUUUCUCUUGUCUAGAUCUUUUAUUGGCCAGUGGGUCCUUGUGAUCAUGGCCAAUGGCUUGAGCCGGAUACCAACGACUAUGGCACCUGUCGCCCUUCGCCUUGCCCAGUAAGCAAAUGCAACGGUCGCCAGAUCUACUGGAAGUCAACACUAAAUUCUGAAGGUGGCUGUUAUAAAUCGUUCACACGUGGGCCUUGCAGGCGAAGUAGCUAUUUCCUCGUUGAAGAAUAUGGCACUCGAAGAGGUCGAUGUGUUUCUCAAUUUGGAUCAUCCUAUGAAUCCUAUGUCCUUCCGUCACGCUAUCCCAGGAUGAGAAACCCUUACGACAUGAUGUACUCCAACAACGCGAUGAGCCCAUGAUCGAAAUUUGGCAUGUAUCCGCCGUUUGGCAUGCAGGAAGAAUAGCGGAGACGACUAUCCUGACAUUCCCAGUUUCGAUUACUGAACUAGAAACAGUUUUACAGAACCAUUCACAUGGUUUUGUCUCUAUUAUUUCAUUUUAAAAAUGUGAUUGCAAAUUUUCUAUUGUGACGUAUGGCGGAUAAAAAACAACCUUGAUUAGUUUUAAUGCAUGAAUUCGUUAGCCAAUAAUAUGUGUAUGAAGAAAAUGUUUUCACUUUGAAACAGAGUCAUGGAACCCAUCGGUUUCCAUGACUCUGCUUUGAAAGUUUGAACAGGGAUUUCUGUUUUACCUUUCUGCGAUGCGGCAACACAGCAUUGCAUGUCGAUCUGCGAACGUUUGACAACUCGCUGGUAUUGCAAUAGGUUAAUAGUUUUGUGUCAAGUAAAUUUCAAGUGCGAGUAACUGCUGGAAGAUUGCAAGCGAAAUCUGCAUGUGUCGUGUCAUUGUUCUAAGUGUUGGAGACUUUUUUCGUUUUGAUUAGGCAUUCAUGUUUGGGAACAAUACCUGAAGUUGGAUAUCGCCUAGUGAUAUUUACAUAUUAAGUCCUAUUUUAAGACACUUGGGGCGAUACGUUUCGCAACAAAGAUCUAUACAGUACUCAAAAGAUGACCCACAAGCACUACGCCACCACGAUUGAGACAAGGUAAAACACAAAACUAUAAAGCGCCAUUUAUCAAUAAUGAAUGAAUUUCCUCAUUCUAACAAUAAUUUAAGAAAAUGUAAAUGUAUACUUAGCUGUGGUAAUUAUUUCGUUUACAUCGACUACACUUCAAUAAUUUACAAGUGGGAAAGUGUUGCCUAUAAGCAACAAGAAGGUAUUGUGCAUGUUUAUGAGCGAAUCAUGGCUUAAUGGGUGAGUGUCGGAUUGUACCGCUGGAUGUUUGUGGAUCAAAUACCAUCAAAGUUUUCUUCACCAUGACAUACUUGGAAUUUAUAUGCCAAUACGUGUAAUCCAUCAAGGACACUGAAUUUCACAACACCUGAAUGGGAUUCGAACCCAAUGUAUAGAGAAUUCCAGUCCACCGCUCUACCAUUGAGCUAUGAGACAUAUUACUGAGAAAUCUAAGUCUUCAACACAUUAAGGGGGGGUUGCCAGGAAGGUAUCGCAUCCGCCUAGCAGCUCCAAGGUCCGUGGUUCGAUUCCACGGAGGUUCCCGAUGUCCUGGGCUUCCAAUCUUCCACGUCUGCCAGUCGGGUCGAGAAACUUCCCCAUUACGAAGUAAUGGGACGGAUAUUUUGGCAAUGUUUAAUAUAAUAUCCAAUAAAAAAUCUUAAUAAAUUGUUCAUUAUGAUUUAUCCGUGUGAAUGCGUAUUUUGUUACUUGAAUACUUUACAACGUACUUUAGCCAUUGGCAUCCUCUGUCGAGAUAUCUCACACAUACUGCUUGAUCAAUAUUUUGUGUAUAUAAGAUUGUAACAUAUAGUCAAUCAACUGAAUCUUUUAA